AUGCAAGUCGAACGGCAGUCGGGCAGCAAUGCUUGGCGAGAGUGGCGCACGGGUGCGUAACGCGUAUGCAACCUACCUUUAACAGGGGGAUAGCCCGGAGAAAUUCGGAUUAAUACCCCGUAGUAAUUAUUAGUGGCAUCACUGAUAGUUUAAAGCUAAUGCGGUUAGAGAUGGGCAUGCGUUCCAUUAGCUAGUUGGUGCGGUAACGGCGUACCAAGGCUACGAUGGAUAGGGGACCUGAGAGGGCGAUCCCCCACACUGGUACUGAGACACGGACCAGACUCCUACGGGAGGCAGCAGUAAGGAAUAUUGGGCAAUGGCCGCAAGGCUGACCCAGCCGUGCCGCGUGCAGGAAGACGGCCUUAUGGGUUGUAAACUGCUUUUGUCAGGGAGUAAAUCCUUAUACGUGUAUAAGGUUGAAAGUACCUGAAGAAUAAGCAUCGGCUAACUCCGUGCCAGCAGCCGCGGUAAUACGGAGGAUGCGAGCGUUAUCCGGAUUCAUUGGGUUUAAAGGGUGCGCAGGCGGGCUAAUAAGUCAGGGGUGAAAUUCCACGGCUCAACUGUGGGGCUGCCUUUGAUACUGUUAGUCUUGAGUUUAGUUGAGGUGGGCGGAAUGUAGCAUGUAGCGGUGAAAUGCAUAGAUAUGCUACAGAACACCGAUAGCGAAGGCAGCUCACCAAGUUAUAACUGACGCUCAUGCACGAAAGCGUGGGGAUCAAACAGGAUUAGAUACCCUGGUAGUCCACGCUGUAAACGAUGAUCACUCGUUGUUGGCGAUAC
rnacentral:rRNA from 1 species